GCCCUUAUAGUUCAAUGGAUAGAACACAAGCCUCCGGAGCUUGGAAUACAGGUUCGACUCCUGUUGAGGGCA
rnacentral:tRNA from 1 species